UAUCCCCUUCCUUAUUCCAAGUCAACAGGAGAAGGUCGCUGAUGAUGAGGCCAGGGCCAGCCUUGGUUGGGUGGCACAGAAAGCCUUAGAAGAAUUUCAGGCGCAGGUGGGAGGUUCGGAAGCACCUGGGGCUUGUCAGUCGGAAGCAGUAGCUACGCACCAGGAGAUCUCGGACGCCCCACCGAACGACUCGCAUGAGUUGCCUAUGUCAAACUCAUCAUCGGCCUUAACCCAAUUACGAGAACUUGAAAUUCUGGAGCUGGAGGAAAAUAAACUGAUGGAGAGUCUUGAACUACCAACGGAGCAGACGAAGUUACAGAGGUCUAGUAAGAAGAAGGCCAUCGUAGUUCCUCUUAGCGUUCAAACGCGAGGUAUGAUGGAGAGGAACUCCGAACCAAAAUAGAAUUCUUCCUAAUGGUCAGUGGAUUAAUAUGGAAUGUCCGAGCUUCAGGUAGGAGUAUCUACCUUCGCCCUCAAUUCGUAGGAUCAAAUCUUUGGUGCAAGAACACAAUCUUCACUUUGUAGUUUUACUGGAGCCUAUGAUAGACAGCAGGAAAUUGACGAAAGUCUGUAGGAAGAUUAAGAUGGAGAGCUCCUAUUCAGCCUCUGAUGGUGUGUCCAAGAUCUGGGUAAUGUNNNN
rnacentral:lncRNA from 1 species